AUUACUCCUACGGGAGGCAGCAGUGGGGAAUAUUGGACAAUGGGCGCAAGCCUGAUCCAGCCAUGCCGCGUGAGUGAUGAAGGCCCUAGGGUUGUAAAGCUCUUUCGCCAGGGACGAUAAUGACGGUACCUGGAGAAGAAGCCCCGGCUAACUUCGUGCCAGCAGCCGCGGUAAUAAU
rnacentral:rRNA from 1 species